rnacentral:rRNA from 1 species
AGAGUUUGAUUAUGGCUCAGGACGAACGCUGGCGGCGUGCUUCAUACAUGCAAGUCGAACGAGAAUCUCUAGCUUGCUAGAGAGGAAAGUGGCGGACGGGUGAGUAAUGUGUAGAGAAUCUGCCCUUUAGAGGGGGACAACAGUUGGAAACGACUGCUAAUACCCCAUAUGAGCGUACCUGAAAUGGUAUUCUUGAAAACUCCGGUGCUAAAGGAUGAGUCUGCACCUGAUUAGCUAGUAGGCGGUGUAAUGGACCACCUAGGCGACGAUCAGUAGCUGGUUUGAGAGGAUGAUCAGCCACAAUGGGACUGAGACACGGCCCAUACUCCUACGGGAGGCAGCAGUAGGGAAUUUUGCGCAAUGGGGGAAACCCUGAACCGCAGCAACGCCGCGUGAAUGAAGAAGCCCUUCGGGGUGUAAAGUUCUGUCAGUGGGGACGAAACUUGACGGUACCCACAGAGGAAGCAUCGGCUAACUCCGUGCCAGCAGCGGC